UUCUGGUUGAUCCUGCCGGACCUGACUGCUAUCGGAUUGAUACUAAGCCAUGCGAGUCUUUGUAGUAAUACAAGGCAUACGGCUCAGUAACGCGUAGUCAACCUACCCUAUGGACAAGAAUAAUCUCGGGAAACUGAGCAUAAUUCUUGAUAGAUCAUAAUGCCUGGAAUGGUUUAUGGUUAAAAUGAUUCGUCGCCAUAGGAUGGGACUGCGGCCUAUCAGCUUGUUGGUGAGGUAAUGGCCCACCAAGGCGAUUACAGAUACGGGCUCUGAGAGGAGAAGCCCGGAGAUGGGUACUGAGACAAGGACCCAGGCCCUAUGGGGCGCAGCAGGCGAGAAAACUUUGCAAUGUGCGAAAGCACGACAAGGUUAGUCCGAGUGAUUUCUGCUAAAGAGAUCUUUUGCUAGUUAUAAAACCACUAGUGAAUAAGGGGUGGGCAAGUUCUGGUGUCAGCCGCCGCGGUAAAACCAGCACCUCAAGUGGUCAGGAUGAUUAUUGGGCCUAAAGCAUCCGUAGCCGGCUCUGUAAGUUUUCGGUUAAAUCUAUGCGCUCAACGUAUGGGCUGCCGAAAAUACUGUAGAGAUAGGGAGUGGGAGAGGUAGACGGUACUCGGUAGGAAGGGGUAAAAUCCUUUGAUCUAUCGAUGACCACCUGUGGCGAAGGCGGUCUACCAGGACACGU
rnacentral:rRNA from 1 species